rnacentral:rRNA from 1 species
CAGUCGAACGAAGCACUUUAUUUGAUUUCCUUCGGGACUGAUUAUUUUGUCACUGAGUGGCGGACGGGUGAGUAACGCGUGGGUAACCUGCCUUGUACAGGGGGAUAACAGUUGGAAACGGCUGCUAAUACCGCAUAAGCGCACGGCAUCGCAUGAUGCAGUGUGAAAAACUCCGGUGGUAUAAGAUGGACCCGCGUUGGAUUAGCUAGUUGGUGAGGUAACGGCCCACCAAGGCGACGAUCCAUAGCCGACCUGAGAGGGUGACCGGCCACAUUGGGACUGAGACACGGCCCAAACUCCUACGGGAGGCAGCAGUGGGGAAUAUUGCACAAUGGGCGAAAGCCUGAUGCAGCGACGCCGCGUGAGCGAAGAAGUAUUUCGGUAUGUAAAGCUCUAUCAGCAGGGAAGAUAAUGACGGUACCUGACUAAGAAGCACCGGCUAAAUACGUGCCAGCAGCCGCGGUAAUACGUAUGGUGCAAGCGUUAUCCGGAUUUACUGGGUGUAAAGGGAGCGCAGGCGGUGCGGCAAGUCUGAUGUGAAAGCCCGGGGCUCAACCCCGGUACUGCAUUGGAAACUGUCGUACUAGAGUGUCGGAGGGGUAAGCGGAAUUCCUAGUGUAGCGGUGAAAUGCGUAGAUAUUAGGAGGAACACCAGUGGCGAAGGCGGCUUACUGGACGAUAACUGACGCUGAGGCUCGAAAGCGUGGGGAGCAAACAGGAUUAGAUACCCUGGUAGUC